GCAAUUCCUUCGGCAUCAGCUGAGACAACAUUUCAAAGACAGUCUUUCCAAGGAGCUUCCCCCUCUGCUGCAUUAAACACCUUCUCAGGUCUCAACACAGCUGCGUGAAUUUCUUAGUGAUGGCUACAACUGAUAUAUCUGGAAGACUUAAGAGACAUACAGUUUUUUUAGCAAAGCUACAAUACCCCACAUCCACACAUUGCAUAUCCAGUGUAAAGAGCAGAAGAACACAGGGAUUUUUGCAAAAUUACCACUGUUAGGUGUUCAAUUCUGAACACAGCCAUAGUCUGAUUUCGAUACAAGCAAUGCCAUCCUUUCACUCAAUAGAGAUGCUCUCCUGUGCAUUCAAAACUAGAUGUUUCUCCUAUAUCUUGUCAUUGCUCUAGACCCAGCAGAGGUUAGAACACCUGAAAAUACCAAGCUAUUUCAACAAUAAGAUAAAAAAAAUUACACAGCAACAAACCACCAAGGGCAAGAGGAAGGCACGAGACCUGGUGAAAAGCCAAUCUUGCAUGUAUAAACCAGAUUCUUAUUCCAUUCCUACUCAACCUCUAACUGAAGCUGAUAGCACCAUGCUGGCAAAAACCAAGUAACCAACCAACCAACAAAAAUCCAGCUAAGUAACAACUGAAGUUUUGCUUGGUGGGAAUGGUACAAAAAUCCUUAGACUGUUUAAAAGGUAAUAAAGUACUUGCUUAUCUGUA